rnacentral:lncRNA from 1 species
CUCGCUGUGGCCUCCAGCGUGAAGUUGACGCGCGUGCCGCGGGUGAAGAAGUGGUGUGCAGACCAAAGUGCAGAAAGAGGUUAAGAAAGCCAGAAAGGGAACUCAGUGGGACGUGAACUCUACAAGCCAGGUGAAUGCAGCGGUGACUGUGGCCUGAGCAGCUUGGAGCCCCUCCAAACAGCACAGUAAGUAGGUGGAUUUCGUCAGCUGGCCUUAUGCUGGCUUGAUCUUUUCCUGUUGUGCUCAGAAGUGUGGUAGGUCAACAUGGGAAGAGGGAAAGAGAGAGAAGAUUUAACCAGCACUGAUAGAUCUGUAAUUAUUUAAGCAUUCUGAGCCUGAAAUGGAAUCUAAGAAGCACACA